rnacentral:rRNA from 1 species
CCUACGGGCGGCAGCAGUGAGGAAUAUUGGUCAAUGGACGAGAGUCUGAACCAGCCAAGUAGCGUGAAGGAUGACUGCCCUACGGGUUGUAAACUUCUUUUAUAAAGGAAUAAAACGAGGCACGUGUGCCUUUUUGCAUGUACUUUAUGAAUAAGGAUCGGCUAACUCCGUGCCAGCAGCCGCGGUAAUACGGAGGAUCCGCGCGUUAUCCGGAUUUAUUGGGUUUAAAGGGAGCGUAGAUGGGUUGUUAAGUCAGUUGUGAAAGUUUGCGGCUCAACCGUAAAAUUGCAAUUGAUACUGGCAGUCGUGAGUACAGUUGAGGUAGGCGGAAUUCAUGGUGUAGCGGUGAAAUGCUUAGAUAUCACGAAGAACCCCGAUUGCGAAGGCAGCUUACUAAGCUGUGACUGACAUUGAUGCUCGAAAGUGUGGGUAUCAAACAGGAUUAGAUACCCCAGUAGUC